ACGCAACGUGCUCGCACCUCGCACACAAAGAUUUGCGCUGCGGACCACUGAUAAGAUAGGUGACGAUAAGUAACUUCCUUAUUUAACUACCUUGGAAUAUAACCGAUGACGUCAUCUUCUACCCGGUCUGAAACAAUUAAGUUGCACUAACGUUACCUACGUUAGUGCAACCCCUUUGUGCUAAAUAUUUGCGGCUUUGCUACAACAAAAGCAUCUUACUUUUGUUCUAAUUCUGAUAACUCAUUAAUGUAAUAGUGCGGCAAGUUCAUACGUGACUACUAGAUUCAUGUUCGUGGGAAAGUGCACGUCAAUCGAAAAUAUAUUUACCCCAAAAAUAAAAUUGCGAGAAAUGUAUUAAGCAGUUAGACGAAUUUUCAGUAGAGGAUUUAACGCGAGUUGCAAUUUCACGUGUUUUAUCUUCAGUACUGGCGAUGGCGGUCAGAUCAACGUAUAUUUUCACCAAAAAAAAUAUUCAAGAAGAAAGGGCAGGAAGUAAUCACAAAAAGGGACAUGGAAUUCGCUUAAAUUCCAGACUCAGAUAAAAAAACAUCAAAGUUUAAAGGUUGCUGAGAUGCAGAAUCGAAAACUUGCUUGGCCAAAAUACUUUGCAUACUUUCGUAUCGCCGGCGCGUAGCUACCGGAGCGUAUUACUGUUUAAUUUUUUUAACACAUUUCAUUGAUUUAAUUUCCUUUGUCUACCUUCUUUGCCCUUUAAAUAAUCAAGUGCAAAAUGUAAACAACCAGCAAUGGCCUCUUCUGAAAUCGCGGUUUGGUAUUAAUAUAUAUGAAAAAAAUUGUAGGUAGUUUUAAACUGGUUAAAUUCAAUAAUUUUUCAAUUACGAUCAAUAAUAACUAACUACGAACAAAUGCACAAGGAGUCAAAUGGCUCACUUCACAAUUGCUAAGUUAGGUAGAUUCACUUAUUUUGCGAAAAGUGUACAAUAACAUGCUUGCAAUAAAAUUUGUCGAAUGUAAA